rnacentral:rRNA from 1 species
AUUGAACGCUGGCGGCAGGCCUAACACAUGCAAGUCGAGCGAGCGAAGGACGGGUGAGGAAUGGCUGGGAAACUGCCUGAUAGAGGGGGAUAACUACUGGAAACGGUAGCUAAUACCGCAUACCAUCAGAUGUGCCCAGUGGGGAUUAGCUGGUUGGUGGGGUAACGGCUCACCUAGGCGACGAUCCCUAGCUGGUCUGAGCGGAUGAUCAGCCACACUGGAACUGAGACACGGUCCAGACUCCUACGGGAGGCAGCAGUGGGGAAUAUUGGACAAUGGGCGAAAGCCUGAUGCAGCCAUGCCGCGUGUGUGAAGAAGGCCUUCGGGUUGUAAAGCACUUUCAGCGGGGAGGCGUUACCCACAGAAGAAGCACCGGCUAACUCCGUGCCAGCAGCCGCGGUAAUAC